rnacentral:tRNA from 1 species
CAGGGAGACAACACAAUGAUUUUGAUGCUGAGUGCUUUUAUUCUUAGGCCGAAAUCCUGUCACUUUAGGUCGAUCGGUACCUCAGCUUUGAAGUCAAGGAUCAGCAGCAAUGUUGAUUGCUUGAUGGAGAUUUUCAGUUCUUAAACUUUGUCUAGGUCACACCCCAAAAGGGAUGAGACUCCUGGGCCAUUAGCUCAGGUGGUUAGAGCGCACCCCUGAUAAGGGUGAGGUCCCUGGUUCAAGUCCAGGAUGGCCCAUUCGGUGUUGGGGGUUUAGCUCAGUUGGUAGAGCGCCUGCUUUGCAAGCAGGAUGUCAGGAGUUCGAGUCUCCUAACCUCCACUGACCGAACUUGAUUCCCAUCUCCAAUUUUUUGGAGUUGAGCUCGAUUGGAGUGUGAUUUAGAUGUGUCCGCUGGAUGACCCCAGCUUCCUGUCAUUCCAAGUUUUAGAUUUUAAGUCUUGAAUUUGGUUGAUAAGAUGCUGGGCUCAGAUCAAAUGAUCAAGCAAUUGAUGAUUUGAUUUGAAGUUCUAGCAGAACCUUGACAACUGCAUAGGUGAGUCUGGAAAAAACAAAGCAUCUUACAGAUGCAUUGUUUUGAAUCUGAUCUUCUGAAAGGGAGAUUGGAUCUAGAACAAUGAAAAUUCUUUUGAGCAAGAGCCGAGACUCUUGAGCGUUCUUUGAUUGGUGUCGAGCCAAUCAGAGUUUGAUCUUGUUUUUAGUAAUAAAAACUUGAGAAUCUGCUUUCAACGGCGGUAAGCGUUCAGGAGGUUAAUU